rnacentral:tRNA from 1 species
UGAGCAGAAUCUAAUCUAAUAGAAAUACAAUGAUAAUGUAUGUAAGCAUUUUAAUGCCUGUUCAA